rnacentral:rRNA from 1 species
GACGAACGCUGGCGGCGUGCUUAACACAUGCAAGUCGAACGCUGAAGCUUGGUGCUUGCACUGGGUGGAUGAGUGGCGAACGGGUGAGUAAUACGUGAGUAACCUGCCCUUGACUCUGGGAUAAGCCUGGGAAACUGGGUCCAAUACUGGAUACGACAUGUCACCGCAUGGUGGUGUGUGGAAAGGGUUUUACUGGUUUUGGAUGGGCUCACGGCCUAUCAGCUUGUUGGUGGGGUAAUGGCUCACCAAGGCGACGACGGGUAGCCGGCCUGAGAGGGUGACCGGCCACACUGGGACUGAGAUACGGCCCAGACUCCUACGGGAGGCAGCAGUGGGGAAUAUUGCACAAUGGGCGGAAGCCUGAUGCAGCGACGCCGCGUGAGGGAUGACGGCCUUCGGGUUGUAAACCUCUUUCAGCACGGAAGAAGCGAAAGUGACGGUACGUGCAGAAGAAGCGCCGGCUAACUACGUG